rnacentral:rRNA from 1 species
AAGCGUGGAUGAUGUGGAUUAAUUCGAUGCAACGCGAAAACCUUACCUACCCUUGACAUGUCUGGAACCUUGCUGAGAGGCGAGGGUGCCUUCGGGAGCCAGAACACAGGUGCUGCAUGGCUGUCGUCAGCUCGUGUCGUGAGAUGUUGGGUUAAGUCCCGCAACGAGCGCAACCCUUGUCACUAGUUGCCAUCAUUUAGUUGGGCACUCUAGUGAGACUGCCGGUGACAAACCGGAGGAAGUGGGAUGACGUCAAGUCAUCAUGCCCCUUAUGCCCUGGGCUGCACACGUGCUACAAUGGCUGGCACAAUGGGCUGCGAAACCGCGAGGUAGAGCGAAUCCCACAAAGCCAGUCUAAGUUCGGAUUGAAGGCUGAAACUCGCCUUCAUGAAGUCGGAGUCGCUAGUAAUCGCGAAUCAGCACGUCGCGGUCGAAUACGUUCCCGGGCCUU